UCACCCUCCACUCUUCAAAUUACACAAGUCCCAUGCUGCUGAUAGCAUUGCUGUGGAAACAUAAGGAUAAACAUAUGUUUCCCUGGAUGAGUUGGAGUGCUUUGAAGCAGACUUAUGAGGAUCUGCCUAAUUGCUCACGUAAGGGAAAAUGAACCAUCCUGCAAGCAACAAACCAAUCUGCAUACACCAACAAACAAUGGAUUCAAGACCAAGCACUUGAAGAUUUAGGGGUCCCAAAGCAGUUCUCUUUACAACUUGGGACUGGACCAACUAACAGGGUGGUGGCCUCCAUCACUUCACUGGCUCUCCUCAGAUUCCAAUCAUGACUUGCUUUCAUCAGGGAUCCAGUUUUCCAACAUUACAAAAUUUCUUCUUCAGCCUCAGAUCAUCAUCAGUUCUUCUAUGUUUUCAAGAGUAAAAGAACUUUUUGGUUUUUUUUUUUUCCAUUAAAAAUAUG